CAUGAAGCCACCCAGAAGACAGGCUACAUUUCCACUUAUAACUAGAUUCUGGCCAGUUGAAAUAUAAAUACAUGUGGUACCCUGAGUGGGGCAGCUCAGAAUGUUCCUUCAGAGAUGACGACAGAUGCCCGUUGUCCGUUUCAUUUUGCCCUACAUCCUGCUACCUUGUGGGAUGGUUCCAGUUGGGCCAUGAACACAAGAGCCCCACCAUGAGGAUGUCAGCGUGUCGCUCUGGAAGGCAGGAUCCAGAUUCAUCCUGCAGGACCUGGUGCACGAGGUCAAAGUUGGAUGAGAUCAUACUCUUCUGCUUGAGGUAAUGUAAGGCCUCCUUCAGGCAGACUACUUGGUCUUCAUGAGCUAAGCCAUGCAGAUGAUGGAUGAACAGGAGAUCCCAAAACCUUGCCUCCCUUUUCCCUGACACGGUCAGCGAAGUCUAUGCUUCUUAAGAGUGGGAGCUGCUGUCAGCCACAUGGCUGUCCUCCUGUUGGAUCCAUGUGUAGUGGAGGGGGGCCAUGCUGGCCUCAGAGCUCUGUUGUGAGACACUCAGUGGCCUGUGAUGUGCAGGAUGGUGUGGACAUUGCCCUGAUGCCUGCUAAGCAGUUUGAGAGGAAGAGCCCAAGUAAGGGGAAUGGGAGAGGGAGAAGCAGACUCCCCACGGAGCAGGGUGCCUGAUGCACGACUUGAUUCCUGGACACUGGAAUCAUGACCCAAGUUGAAGACAGACGCUUAAUCAACUGAGUCACAGAGGUACCCCGAGUCCGUGCAAAUUUUAAUGAGUAAAAGAAAAAAAGAGAUCCUAGUCCCAGCUUCCUCUUCUGAGAAUUGCACAUACAGAGCUACUGUUCACCAUUGUUCUCUGUUGGUAGAGUAACAGGGCAGAAAUGCCUGGGCCUCGACUCAUCUUGUUUGUUCUCAUCCUUGCUCACAAGUCUUCCAGACCCUUCAGACUCUGUUUUGGAUUGGAGAAUUUUCACUUGAACUUGGACUGGUUCUUUUUUUUUUUUAAUUUU